rnacentral:rRNA from 1 species
CCUAUGGGAGGCUGCAGUGGGGAAUAUUGGACAAUGGGGGGAACCCUGAUCCAGCCAUGCCGCGUGUGUGAAGAAGGCCCUCGGGUUGUAAAGCACUUUCAGUGAGGAAGAACGCCUGGUGGUUAAUACCCAUCAGGAAAGACAUCACUCACAGAAGAAGCACCGGCUAACUCCGUGCCAGCAGCCGCGGUAAUACGGAGGGUGCGAGCGUUAAUCGGAAUUACUGGGCGUAAAGCGCGCGUAGGUGGCUUGAUAAGCCGGUUGUGAAAGCCCCGGGCUCAACCUGGGAACGGCAUCCGGAACUGUCAAGCUAGAGUGCAGGAGAGGAAGGUAGAAUUCCCGGUGUAGCGGUGAAAUGCGUAGAGAUCGGGAGGAAUACCAGUGGCGAAGGCGGCCUUCUGGACUGACACUGACACUGAGGUGCGAAAGCGUGGGUAGCAAACAGGAUUAGAUACCCUGGUAGUC